CUCUGGCAAAGGGAGGCAGCAAGCUUGAGGCAACAACUGCACAACUUGCAAGAAAGCCACAAGUAUGAUCUUGCAAUGGAUUCUGCAACAAAAAAGGAACACUCAUCAAUAGAAAGUUUUUUAUGCCACCUGAAGGACUCCAUAAGAACAUUCAAAACACACACACACACAAAGGAACUCUUCCGGAAAGGAUGAAAUAAAUAUCCAGUAUUGAAGACAUGAAACUGAUAGUGACUUUCUCCUAACAAAAUAAUAAGUUCCUUUGCUUCCACCUGUGUACCCAUGUAAUUUUACGCUGGGUAGUUUUAGUAUCCUACCUAAGAUAAUGUGAGAAACUCUUUUCCAAUGUUGUAGGCAACUAAUGGGAGAGGAGCUUUCAGGCCUAGGUGUAAGAGACCUCCAAAGUUUAGAGAAUCAGAUUGGAAUGAGCCUGCAUAGUAUCAGAAUGAGGAAGGACCAUCUUUUGAAAAGUGAAAUUGAAGUGUUACAGAGGAAGGGCAGCCUAAUUCACCAGGAAAACAUGGAGCUCAGUAGAAGAGUACAUUUCAUGUCACAGCAAAAAGAGGAACUAUAUAGGAAGGCCAGUGAACCAAGAGGUGCUGCUGGUGCAAGCUCUAGCACUCCCUACAGCUUUUGUAUUGCAACACAACAAGCAGAUGCCCCUGUUAAUCUUGAACAGAGGCACUCGCAACCAAAGGAGGGAAAUCGGUGCCAAGAAUUUAUGGCUCCUGAACUGGGACUUCAACUGCCCUAAGAAGAUGCAGUACAAGGUGGAAAAUACCAUUGUGUUUCACCAAUUGCACACAAUGCAGAGCACUCCGGUUGCAUGAAUAUUUAUGAUAUAUAACCAGCUGUAUGAGCAAAAUAGUUUGUGUACAAAAUGUGUAGGACCAAUAAUGUUACAUGAGGGCAUGAGGCUCCUCUGCAUCAAAAGUGUACUGGGUUUCACUUGGCAUUUGCAUGAUGUAUAUGGAUUUGCUUCACUGAUGAUUGAACUUUGCAAUAAGGAAUUGUAUAAGUUUCAUGGUUUGGAACUGAAA